rnacentral:rRNA from 1 species
AAAAGUUUGAUCAUGGCUCACCNAUGAACGUUGGCGGCGUGCCUAAUACAUGCAAGUCGAGCGAAUGGAUUAAGAGCUUGCUCUUAUGAAGUUAGCGGCGGACGGGUGAGUAACACGUGGGUAACCUGCCCAUAAGACUGGGAUAACUCCGGGAAACCGGGGCUAAUACCGGAUAACAUUUUGAACUGCAUGGUUCGAAAUUGAAAGGCGGCUUCGGCUGUCACUUAUGGAUGGACCCGCGUCGCAUUAGCUAGUUGGUGAGGUAACGGCUCACCAAGGCAACGAUGCGUAGCCGACCUGAGAGGGUGAUCGGCCACACUGGGACUGAGACACGGCCCAGACUCCUACGGGAGGCAGCAGUAGGGAAUCUUCCGCAAUGGACGAAAGUCUGACGGAGCAACGCCGCGUGAGUGAUGAAGGCUUUCGGGUCGUAAAACUCUGUUGUUAGGGAAGAACAAGUAGCUAGUUGACAUAAAGCUGGGCACCUUGGACGGUAACAUAAACACGAGAAA